rnacentral:tRNA from 1 species
CGGCGCGCGCCGCGCCGGCGCGCGUGCUGACGCUCGCAGUGUCGGAUGUCCCGGGCGACGAUCCGGACGUUAUCGGCUCCGGCCCGACGGUGCCGG